UUCCCGCAUUAUACUCCAUUUGCCAACUUGUCGCCCAUUUAUCAAUUUCUCUCCAUAAACUGUAACCCUCAUGAAACUUGACUGUUAUCCCUUUUUUAUGAAAUCCUCCCUCAUUCUUCUAAUCUUUUCGUUGGGAACACUGGGCAACACGACAUAUACGUAAUUGCUACCUUUUUAAUGGGCAUUCUUUCGAAUGACUGGGAGAAGCUUACUGUCCAUUGUUCAGAAUCGAGACAACUUAUCCAUCAAGCUGCGUUAGCUUUUCCGGCCCAAAGUCUCAUUGUGGCAGUGCAGCAGCACGGAAGGAAAGAAAAGGAAACGAAUCCUGCUGUCUGCAUCUCACUAACUCUUGGCCAUUCUUUGCCAUGUGUCAAAGACCUGCUGAUCUGUUCAGUGACAUGAAGUCCCAAGGUGGAAACUCCCAGAAACCCAAAUAGUUUUCCCCCUGAAUUCACUGCUGACCUCCACAAGGGAUAAUGUGUAGCAGGGACAAUGCACAGUUAUCCUCGGCCAGGAGGAGGAGAUGUUGUGAAUUUCUACCCUGGACUGACAGUUAUGGAUUUUAUGAAUUUGUGUUACAGGAUAUUACAAGUGGACUUUCAGGUGGGAAUCUCAAUAAUUGUAACACCAAACUCUGACAGAAUUACUCAGUUCAUCAGGACCUGGAUAUUCGCAUUGUGUAGCUUGGAAAUAGUCAUAUUGUCACCAUACAUCGACACAGUCACACUGACUAAAGGCUAUCCACCUGCACAGUAUGUGAAAAGGGAUUUCCUGGUUCAUCAGGACUGGUUAACUACCAGCAAAUUUCUGAGUAAGUGUUAAUUGAUUUUGAAUUCUGCUGUUAGCUAUAUCCAAACCAUGUUUUUUCGGCUUGUUUCUGGAGAUCAUAGAAUCCCUCCAAUGUGAAAGCAGACCAUUUGGCCCAUCACGAAGAGUGUCCUACCCAGUCUCAGUAACACUGCAUUUAACAUGGCUAAUCCACAUAGUCUGCACAUACCCGGGCACUAUGGGCAAUUUAGCACAGCCAAUCCACCCUAACCUGCACAGCUUUAGACUGGCAGGAAACCAGAGCACCUGGAGGAAACCUGCACAGACACAGAGACUGUGCGAACUGCAUUUAGACAGCAGCCUGAGGCUAGAAUCAAAUGCAGAAAUAGAAACAGUAAACAUCCAUUCAGCCCUUUGACCUUGUUCCUCCUGUCAUCUACGUCAGUUCUACCUUCUCAAAUUAUCCCCAUUUCCCUCAUUGCUGAUGUACAAAAAUCUAACACUGCCUGAUUUGGAAACCCGCGAUGACCAAGAAUCUACAGCUCCCUGGAAUAGAGAAUUCCACAGAUUUACAGUGAUGUGAGUGAAGAAAUUGCUCCUCACCUCAAUCUGAAAUGGUCACACCCUUAUUCUGAGACAAUUACCCCAUGUCCGAGAUUUCCCAGCCAGAGGAAACAUUUACUCAGCAUUGUUCCUAUCAAGCAUCUUCCAAAAAAAAAGAUAAUUCAAUGAGAUCACUUCUAUUUCUCUAUAUCCUACAGGUUGGUCAUCAGUUAGUUCAGUUGGCUGGACGGCUGAUUUAUGAUGUGGAGUGGUACCAACAGUGUGGGUUCAAUUCCUUCACCAGCUGAGGUGACCAUGAAGGACUGUCCUUCUUGACUUCUUCCCUUGCCUGACUCUCAGGUUAGCCACCACCAUUUGUCUGUCUCGAAUGAGAGACAGCCUGGUUGUCCAGUAGCACUAUGGUGACUUUGAUUUUAUCCCACAGAAUAUAAGCCCUGUUUACUCAAUUUCUUCUGCUCAGAAAUCCCCUCUUCCCAGGAGCCAGUCUGGAGAACCUUUGUUACACUCACUCUAGAUCAUUCAUAUUAGUUCAGUCAUCAGAAACUGCUCACAGUCCUCUAGGGCAGACCUCACUCCUGAAAACUGCUCACAGUCCUCUAGGGCAGACCUCACUCCUGAAAACUGCUCGCAGUCCUCCAGGGCAGAUCUCACCAGAGGAACCUGCUCGCAGUCCUCCAGGGGAGUUCACUCUCGUUCUUCAAAGCCCUUUGUAAUAAAAGCUUACCUACCGUUCGCCAUUUGUUGCUGCAUCUUCUGUUACGUUCUGUCAUAUGUAUCCAAGGACACCUGGUCCCUCUGGUGACGUUUCCACACUCAACAUUCAUGAUUAAAAUGUCAGGGGCAAUAACUGUGUCACCCAUUCUGUCCGAGAGCAGGUACUGGCAAUGCUGUUCACAUUUUGCUGUCUCUGGGCCUGACUUCUGUUUCUUCUCCUAGCCCAUUUGUUUAUUAACUUCUCAUUAUAGACAAUGUUGCCUUGUACCAUUAUUGUGAUGGACUUUGUCAUUUCGUCACUCCAGCCUCCGAACUGCUUGCAAAAACAUUAUUCUUUCACAAACAUGCUAGUUAGGAGCAAAGUCAGAAGUCAAACAAUACCAGAUUAUAGUCCAACAGGUUCAUUUACGUCAGAAGCUUUCAGACUGCUUGUUCCUUCAUCAGGUGACUCCACCUGCAGAAGGACCAGCUCUCUGAAAGUUUGCGAUUUCAAAUAAACCUGUUGGACUAUAAUCUGGUGCCAUGUGACUUCUGACUUUGUCCACCCCAGUCCAUGAUCGGCACUUCCAUAUCAAAGUUAGCGGUAGGAAUUGGCCAUUCGCCAUCAAGCCUGCGCUCCACUCUCCUUUUCCGUGACACAGUCCUAGUUUAUAAACUAUUCAAUACUAAUAUCAUCCAGUUCAGGUAAAAGGUUAGCAACACGCAUUUUUCACUAAAUUUCUCUUCCAAAACUGUUUGUCUUGCUGAGUGUUUCCAACAUUUUCUGUUUUGAGGCUGGAUUUCCAACAUUUGCAGAAUCUUGAAUUUUGGUUCACUGUGGAUUGUCUGCUUAGACUGUCCCAAUUAGGAGUACAUGGAGCUGUGAAAGAAUGAGACAUCAGUGACUCACCCUAUUCAACGAAAAAAAACUCAGUCAGGUACUCAAUCAGGGGACUUUUAAUCUUUACAUCUGGAUUCCAAACCACAAAUUUUGCCUGCAAAAUAAAGGUGAUUUUCCUCCCUUGGGGUAUGAAAGAUGCUAGUAUCUGACCUGUGCACAGAAAAAUGUGCUGAUCCCUGUCCUGGGGAUGGUAAAGAUGCUGGGAGCAAUUGUACAAGAGUGCAAACUGGACUCAAAAUCAGAAAGAAAAGUAAAAUGCUGAGGAUGCUGCAGAUCAAAGUAAAACAGGAAGUGGUGUGGAAACUCCUCAGGUCUGGCAUCUGUGGAGACAAACACAGAAUUAAUGUUUUGAGUUCAGAGUCAGCUGAACUUGAAAUGAUGAAUCUGCUUCUCAUUUCAGAGAGGGUGUUUUCGGUUCAGUAGGAUAGACUAAAACAAGGCUGACUGUAAGAAUCUGAGAUGGAGUUGAAUCCUUUGUUGAGCAUGCUGCAUUGCUCACAUUUAGUGUGAAAAGCUCUAUAAUUGAGAAAAUUAUACAUAGAUCUCUUGAGACUGCAUGGUGGCACAGUGGUCAGCACUGCUGCGUCACAGCACAGGGGACCUGGGUUUGAUUCUAGCCUUGGGCGACUGUGUGGAGUUUGGACAUUCUCCCUGUGUCUGCGUGGGUUUCCUCCAGGUGCUCCGGUUUCCUCCCACAGUCCAAAAAUGUGCAAAUUCGGUAGAUUGACUAUGCUAAAUUGCCCAUAGUGUCUUGUGUGUAAAAUGCAGGGAUAGGGUAGGGUGUGAGACUGGGUGGGAUGCUCUUUAGAGGAUUGGUGUGGACUCAAUGGACUGAAUGGCCAUCUUCCACACUGCAGGGAUUCUAUGAUGAUCUCGAUGGCCCUUUAUUUGUUAGUUAUGCCUGGUCAAUAUGUCUGCACACCUUUACAAUUACGGAUUCUAUUGCUCUCCACAGACAUGUUUCAACUUUUAAUAGAUAUUUGUUUAUUAGAAACAAUGUAAUCUUUCAUUUUGUGGAUAACAAUCAAAGGAAAGUUUUAAAUCCAAACAAAAGAUUGGGAUGAGUCAUGUACUAUAUCCCUGAUUGCAUUUUCCCAAUCUGCUAUGAAACCUGGUGACCAUUGUGACUCUGUCCAGGGGGAAAUGCAGUCUAUUCAGAUCUUUACCUGGUGUCCAUAGCAGUGACGGAUCGCAUGAUGAAUACAUAAACCAAGACAUUGUAUGAUU